UCACUCAUUUUUGCAUUCAUUGAUUGACUCUUAUAUGUGCCCUGACCAGAGAUCGAACUCACAACUUUAGUGUAUUAGGAUGAUGCUCUCACCAUCUGAGAAUUUCGUGGUGAGCAAAAUGCUGACAGCCAGUGCGGGAGUCUCUCACAGGACCUUAAAGGGUCCCAGAAGCUUAAUCUUCAUUGAAUUCAAGUUCUCAGCCGCCCGGACGCUCCUCACUAGGCCACGCCCACCAACGGUGGCGGAUUGGUGGAAAGCAGAGACCGGGUCGUAAGGAACCCUGCAAGCUCCGUCGUCCAAGGGCGGACAACAGCUGUCCUUCUGCCCCCACUGUCCUUCGGGUCCUUUUGCAAGGGAACCGCCCGUGCGACUGGCUGUCGCCUUUCAUUGGCCGGGAUGGGUAACUCCGCUCUGCAGGGCUGGGGUCAGAGGGUUCGUGAGACCUCCAGCUCUUCCCAGACUACACGCACCCAGCUGGGGCCUUCCGCAGCCCCAGGGUGGCCGAGGGGGC